rnacentral:rRNA from 1 species
GACGAACGCUGGCGGCGUGCCUAAUACAUGCAAGUAGAACGCACAGUUUAUACCGUAGCUUGCUACACCAUAGACUGUGAGUUGCGAACGGGUGAGUAACGCGUAGGUAACCUGCCUGGUAGCGGGGGAUAACUAUUGGAAACGAUAGCUAAUACCGCAUAAUAUUGAUUAUUGCAUGAUAAUUGAUUGAAAGAUGCUAUUGCAUCACUACCAGAUGGACCUGCGUUGUAUUAGCUAGUAGGUGAGGUAACGGCUCACCUAGGCGACGGUACAUAGCCGACCUGAGAGGGUGAUCGGCCACACUGGGACUGAGACACGGCCCAGACUCCUACGGGAGGCAGCAGUAGGGAAUCUUCGGCAAUGGACGAAAGUCUGACCGAGCAACGCCGCGUGAGUGAAGAAGGUUUUCGGAUCGUAAAGCUCUGUUGUAAGAGAAGAACGGGUGUGAGAGUGGAAAGUUCACACUGUGACGGUAUCUUACCAGAAAGGGACGGCUAACUACGUG